rnacentral:sRNA from 1 species
CAUUUGCGUUAGGGAUUGCAGCGGAAAUCCUUUUUUGAUUCGCCGGUAGGCGAAGUAAAAAAGAUUGCAACGAAAAGCCCGACCCAAA